GUUUUUUGGUUUUUUUUAAAAAAAAGUAUUUAAUUCUUUGAAAAAACACAGAUAAAAAUUUUAAAAAACCGG
rnacentral:tRNA from 1 species